CGGGAUGAGCUCAAGCUUAAAAUCUCCAUACAAGUUUUGUAUGGCGAAUUGUAGUCUAUAGAGGCGUGGUCAGCGUGGGCGCUUGGGGUAAGUUCCUUGGAAGAGGACAGCAUGGAGGGUGAUACUCCCGUUCAUCCCUGAGUGGCUCGUGCGUACGACCCGUUUUCUUUGAGUCGCGUUGUUUGGGAAUGCAGCGCAAAGUAGGUGGUAAAUUCCAUCUAAAGCUAAAUAUUGGUGCGAGACCGAUAGCGAACAAGUACCGUGAGGGAAAGAUGAAAAGAACUUUGAAAAGAGAGUUAAAGAGUACCUGAAACUGCUGAAAGGGAACCGAAUCGUUUCCAGUGUCUAUAAUCCGUGGUAUAUUUCAUUGGCGAGUGUGUGCGUGCGUGUACUGUGGCAGUGGCUUUUUUGGCUGCGCUCGGUGUGUGUGCUGUGUGUGCUUGCUGGUGCCCUGUGCUGCGGUGGGACGUCAAGGUCAGUUCGUAUGCUGCGGGAAAUGGCUGCUGAGGAGGUAGGGCUUACGCUUGCGUUUGUCUGUUAUAUCUUGGUGGACGAGUUGUCGCGGUUGGGACUGAGGUGCCUACAACGUGCUUUUGAGUGGGUUUGUGUCUCCGUGUGCGCCWGUGUGGAUAGCUUGCUAUGUAUGUGCGGUUGUGUGUGGAUUGAUGCGGGCUUUAACUUGUUGCCGUUCGGGACGUUGGCGAAAUGGAGCGAUCCGACCCGUCUUGAAACACGGACCAAGGAGUCUAACAUAUGUGCAAGUGUUAGGGUGUGGAAACCCCAGCGCGAAAUGAAAGUGAAGGGCAGCGCAAGUUGUCUGAGGUAGGAAACGUUGUGGACUUCGGUCUGCGGCGUGGCACUAUCGACCGAUCAUGAACCUUCGUGGUGAAAGAUUUGAGUUUGAGCACAUAUGUUGGUACCCGAAAGAUGGUGAACUAUGCCUGAGUAGGGUGAA
rnacentral:rRNA from 1 species